CUACACUAACGAAUAUGUCUAGUUUGUCAUAUUGAUAUCUACAAUUUACCUUGUUAACAACUUUUUCGAUAUAAACAUAUGAUAUCCGUUAUUAAUGUCCCAUGUACUAUUAUUGUUUAAAAAUCUUUAUCUAAGCCGUAUAAAUAUUUUCGUGACACUAAGUGAGUUGUCCAGUUUCGCGCAUUACUUUGAAGUAAAUAUUACAAACAAAAUUUAUUUAAUGAUAAUUAAUAAGAUUUAUAGUGAUGAAUAACUGAAAAGUAAGAACUUUUAGUGGACCAUUCACAGAAGACAAAUAUAACCAGUUUUUCAAUCCAAACGUUUGUCACGUUUGCAAACGUUCUAGCAGAAACUUGAUAACGUGUAAUCUCUGCAAAAUGAUUUCUUACUGUUCCGAGGAACAUAAGGAAAUAUAUAGAAACUCAUACUCAGGGAUAUACGUAGCUAUGGAAAGGAUAAUAACAGACAAAUCGUUGUCGGUUGCGUAUUCUAGCUUGGAACAUUGGAUAGCAUCACGGGACGACAUUUCACAACGAAUACUGCCUAGUACGUCACGUUACGUAUACCAGUAUGAAAAGGAGAUGGUAUUAUGUGCAAAAUCGUAUUGUGUGUGUUACCGACAGAUAAACAUAAGUCCUUGCAACACUUGCUAUUCAGCCAAUUUUUGUGAUGAGCACCAAACAGAAUUUAGAGUAUUACAUGAGGAGGACUGCGGUGAGCUGUUGCUAUUUCUGAACAUGAAUAUAACUGAUGUUAUCCGCGACAUGGAAGAAUUUCUGAUUCAUAAAGGAAGGAAGUUCGCCAGAUUUCCUACAGAGAGAUAUUUUCCUGACAAUAUUACAUUUAUUAAUGGCUAUGUACUUCAAACAUGAACUAGUUCGAUGGGAACAUGGCUUGGAUCUAUAACAGCAAUAAUAGCCCAAAAGUGUCCAUUACUUUUAACCGCUGACACAGAAAAGGUAGUGAAAGAAAAUAUAAAUAAGAUAAAAGAUGUAACAGAUGUAACUAGGAAACGCUUGUAAAAAGUAAAUUCUGCGGAUGUAGUCCAUAUAGAAAUUAUGUAGCUGGAAGAUGUUAUUACCGAAAUGCGCAUUUUAUUAUGUAUUCAUGAAUUUAAAUCACAUGACUGAUCCAGGUAAAGGUUAAAGAAGCAUGAGAAGAUACAUGAAGACUCACAUCUGGAACUCUGCAGAGACCUAACAAGGAUCAUAACAGACAAAUCCGAUUAGAACACAUAUCGUAAUUGGGAAGAAUUGAGAGAAGCACGGAAGGAAAUUUUAAUGAAUAUAAAUCUAUCAGGCAUACAUCACUAAUUGUUGUGAUGAUCAGCAAAUGCUAAGUACUCUAGAACAUAAGGAUCACUGCAACGUUACUAUUACUGAACAUUAAUAUCGUCUGUACGAGUAGCAAUUGUGUCUAAACAAACGUUCACCACAUUUCCUGAUGCUAGAUCUUAUCAUGACAUGAUUAUAUAUAUUAACAGAUAUUUAGUCAUGGAAGAUCUAGAUAACAAUAAAAAAAAGUUUACUUCCCUAUCUGUACUGUCUGGUCAUUAGAACAUUACAUAUGUUCGGAUUACGCUUAGAAAAAAAUUUACUAAAUUUCAAAAAACAUUUGUUUAAAUAGUACUGUGAAGAUAUUUGUUUAAAUUAAAUAAUUAUUUUCUAAAAUUAAAGAAACAAACUUAUAUUUAAAACUUCUUUAUUUAAUUUUAGAAAAUAAUUACUUAAUUUAAACAAAUAUCUUCACACACAUAUCUAUUCAAACACUCAUUUUUUUAAAUUUAGUAAAUUUUUUUCUCAGCAUAUGUAACCGGUCCUCUGACAUUACACUACGCGUUACAGGAAUUAAAUUUAUUAUUUCUUUCACAUGCUGCUUAUAAAUUUAUCGUUCAUAUUAUAGAUACAAAUCUAAUAGAUGUAAUAUGUUUACAAAUUUGUCAUAUUUUCUUACAUCUUUUUCGUUAUAUAAAGGAACUGUAUAUUAUAAUUAUAAAAUCGCCACUAUUCGAAUCCCGCGAUUUAGAGACUGCUUCUCCUAGUUGCGGAAAAUAUAAUCAGAAAGUUUAUGUUGAAAAUGUAUCAGAGCCGCAGCACAAUUAUUGCGCACUUAAAGUCAUAUAAAUAACCAAAUGUGAUCGUAAUAUUUGACACAAAUAUGUGCUUGAUAAGAACAUGGUUUGAAUCUAUAACAACAAUAGUAGUAAAAGAAUGUCCAGUACUUUUAAUCUUUAAUGAUGAAACACAAUAGAUUGCAAUACAAGAAAGUACAAAAAGUAAUAGACAACAAGAAAUCGAUUGUGCAGAAAAAAUAAAUUCUGCGGUUGUAGGCCAUAUAGAAGCCAUGUGACUAGCGAAAAGCGUAUUUCAUUAUUUAUUCAUGAAUUUAAAUCACAUAACCGACCCAAUCAAAGGCUGAAAAUCAGAAAUUGUUUGAUCAUUUCUUUGAUUUAGUAUAGUAUGAUAUUUUAGUAUGAUGCUCCUGUAAAUUUUUAACGAUAUUAAAAGGUAAAUAAUACAUCUCUUACUGAGGUAUAUAUUCAGUCGUAAAUUAAUAGGAUUUUGUCUCUUACAUUUCUGAAAUAUGUAAAACAUAUUUACGUAAGGUAAUAGAAUGAUUGCAUAUCAUAUUUUAAAUUUUAUAUUUUGCAUACUAUUCGCAUACUAUUCAGUAUUUACUUUAGAGGUACUAUAUUCAACAAUUCUGUACUCAGUAUGUAAUUGUUUUGUAAGUCCCUUCUUCAUCGUCCGUGUUUUGCAGGUGAUAGGUGAUAGAAAUAAUUGCGAUAUAUUUUAUGCAGAUUAUAUUUUUAUAUUCUUCAUAUUGUAGCUUUUAAUUAAUAUCUGUAUCUCGUUACAUUGGCUUGUACAAGUUAAAUUAUGAAAAUUUGUCUUAAAGGUUAUCACCGAUUAUUGUACCAAUUAAAAAUGUAAUCAUAGUUGUUAACAAAAUAUGGAUUUUAGUAAUAUACAAUUAUUAUUAAAUGUAUCUUACGAUUCUCUCUCCUGUUUUUGUAAAAGUAUAGCAUAUGUAAACUUUGUUUCAGUUUUGAGCACUUUUCCGAUGCAUUCUUGAAUAUAGCUAAUGAUCUAAUAAGUGAUAGAACUUAAUGAGAAGAUGGGGCUUCAUGCAAUCAUUUAAAAAUCAGUUCUUUCGUUGUGUUGGCUAUCGAGUAAAAUAUAUUGGAGAAAAAUAGUUUAUAUUAUGUUGAAACAAAGUGUAUAUAUGAUUCUAUAAUAUUAUCCGUUAUAUCGCCCACUUUUGCUUUAGAUUUCACGAUUAGCAGUAAGUAUAGUAUAAAACAUUUCUCUAGGCAUAUUAUAAGGAUGAAUUAUGAGCCUAAUGCUUCAACUAGUUACACUGAGAAAAAGUGUAUUUCAAUAUUUAUUUGUA